GAUGAACGCUGGCGGCGUGCCUAAUACAUGCAAGUCGAGCGAACAGACGAGGAGCUUGCUCCUUUGACGUUAGCGGCGGACGGGUGAGUAACACGUAGGUAACCUACCUAUAAGACUGGGAUAACUUCGGGAAACCGGAGCUAAUACCGGAUAAUAUUUCGAACCGCAUGGUUCGAUAGUGAAAGAUGGCUUUGCUAUCACUUAUAGAUGGACCUGCGCCGUAUUAGCUAGUUGGUAAGGUAACGGCUUACCAAGGCAACGAUACGUAGCCGACCUGAGAGGGUGAUCGGCCACACUGGAACUGAGACACGGUCCAGACUCCUACGGGAGGCAGCAGUAGGGAACCUUCCGCAAUGGGCGAAAGCCUGACGGAGCAACGCCGCGUGAGUGAUGAAGGUCUUCGGAUCGUAAAACUCUGUUAUUAGGGAAGAACAAACGUGUAAGUAACUGUGCACGUCUUGACGGUACCUAAUCAGAAAGCCACGGCUAACUACGUG
rnacentral:rRNA from 1 species